UUGAAAGGGAAACGAUUGAAGUCAGUCAUGCUGGUGGGAAUCAACUUAGGGGAAACUCUGGGUGCACUUCUUCGCUUGGCAGGUCAACGUCGAUUUUGAAUGUCAUAAAAUAAUUGGGGGAAGGUAGCUCCUUCGGGAGUGUUAUAGCCCUUGAUAGAUGUGAUGUUUGAGGUCGAGGAUUGCAACGGAUACCCUUUGGGGCUAGCUGCCUGAUCUCUAAUUGGUGUUGGGUUACGGAUAGCAUGCUGACCGUGAUCUAAUUACUGGUUAAAAGGUUAGAGUAUGCAUAAAUUCGUUAAGGAUGUUGACGUA
rnacentral:rRNA from 1 species